GUUUUAAUAAUUUAAUAAAAAUAUUGGUCUUGUAAACCAAAAAUAAGAAAGCACCCUUUUAAAACU
rnacentral:tRNA from 1 species